UACGUAGGGUGCAAGCGUUAAUCGGAAUUACUGGGCGUUAAAAGCGUGCGCAGGCGGUUUAUGUAAGACAGGUGUGAAAUCCCCGGGCUUAACCUGGGAACUGCAUUUGUGACUGCAUAGCUUAGAGUACGGCAGAGGGGGAUGGAAUUCCGCGUGUAGCAGUGAAAUGCGUAGAUAUGCGGAGGAACACCGAUGGCGAAGGCAAUCCCCUGGGCCUGUACUGACGCUCAUGCACGGAAGCGUGGGGAGAAACAGGAU
rnacentral:rRNA from 1 species